rnacentral:rRNA from 1 species
UACGUAGGGUGCGAGCGUUGUCCGGAAUUAUUGGGCGUAAAGGGCUCGUAGGCGGUUUGUCGCGUCGGGAGUGAAAUCCACUGGCUUAACUGGUGGCUUGCUUUCGAUACGGGCAGACUGGAGGUAUGCAGGGGGAGAACGGAAUUCCUAGUGUAGCGGUGAAAUGCGCAGAUAUCAGGAGGAACACCGGUGGCGAAGGCGGUUCUCUGGGAAUGUCCUGACGCUGAGGAGCGAAAGUGUGGGGGAGCGAACAGG